rnacentral:pre_miRNA from 1 species
ACUGACUUAGUGGGUCUAACCACUCAAAGGAAGUCAUUUGUUAGAAAGAAGUGAAGUUCUUCAUUUGAAUGGCUUCCUUUGAAUGGUUAGGCUCACCACAUCAGC